rnacentral:rRNA from 1 species
UUAAUUGAAGAGUUUGAUCAUGGCUCAGAUUGAACGCUGGCGGCAGGCCUAACACAUGCAAGUCGAGCGGAAACGGCAGUAUUGAAGCUUCGGUGGAUUUACUGGACGUCGAGCGGCGGACGGGUGAGUAACGGCUGGGAACCUGCCCUGACGAGGGGGAUAACCGUUGGAAACGACGGCUAAUACCGCAUAAUGUCUUGAUUCGUUAGAGUCAGGACCAAAGGUGGCCUCUACAUGUAAGCUAUCGCGUUGG